AAACUUUCAACAAUGGAUCUCUUGGUUCUGGCAUCGAUGAAGAACGCAGCGAAAUGCGAUAAGUAGUGUGAAUUGCAGAAUUCAGUGAAUCAUCGAAUCUUUGAACGCACAUUGCGCCCUUUGGCAUUCCAUAGGGCAUGCCUGUUCGAGCGUUAUUU
rnacentral:rRNA from 2 species